GAGCUGGUAGUCUGUGUGUAUGGAAUAUAUUCCAGUUUAUGCUAAUUUGUAGUAACCACACUCUAAGUAUUGAAAAGUGUGUGUAUUUCCAUAAUGCUCAAAACUAGUUUCUGAAGCCAGUUUAAUGUCACUUAGCUUUUAAAGCUAGCUAUUAUAAUUGCUUGUACAAGUUUGUGUCUGCAUUCAUUUUUUUUUUCAAAGACUCUGAAAGAAAUACCUCAAGGAAGUAAAAGUCUUCAGGUCUGGCUCACUGAUUCUGUCCAUGAGUUGUCUGUGAGAUAUCAGUCAGUAAUGACAAUAACAUAAAGGGUUAAAUUAUUUCAAGAAUGAUGUCACUCUCAAAUCUUAAAAAAGCAAAAAAAGAAAAAAAGAAAAAAAAAAGCAUGUUUUUAGAAGCAAACCAAUACCAAUCCACCAUGUGACAAUGCAGUUGCCUGUCCUUUACAUGUUAGUCUGCACUACAUGUGCUUGGGCUAAUGUCUUUAGAAAGCAGUGCAGCCUUUGCUCCUGCAUGCAGCUGUUUGCUCUGGAGAACCAGGAUUCUCCCUCUGGUUCCUCACCCCAUCCCCUCAGCACCAGCCACACUUUCCCUUCACCUCUGCCCGGCCUUCCUCAGCUCCUAGCAGUUGAGAAGCAAUUGUCUGUUUUAGGAAUAUUCUAUAUCUGUCUUCAGACAAUUCUCAGUGAAGGAUGAAUUUGCCAAAUUCACACUUCUGCCCUUCCAUGACGGAGGAGGCCUUCUCUUAAGGACUGAGUUGGCGUGUUUGGUGGACGCUAUUUCAUAUCCAUUCCCUAUUCCUCUCUUAGUCACAAAAGAUGUGUAGUAUCUUGCUUGCUUGCAUGCUGACUUCCUGCCUCUCUCACAGUGAUGGUUCCCUGCUUCUUAGAGUCACUUCUCUUCACAUGGAAAGAAAAUUCCUCCCUAAUUAAAAAUAGUGAGCAGUAGUGCAUACUCUCUUAAUGAGUAAACAGAUCACAGCAAGUGGAUGUAAUGUAAGACAUCAAAUCAUUUCUGUCCCCUGCUCCCACCCCUACCUCCCCAUCCCCAUCCUUUCAGGUUCACACACAGUGUUGACAGCUGACUUCCAGCACCUUUCGUCAUGCUGUGGUGUGAACAUGUGGUGUGAACACAUGUGGCCCAGACUGAGCUUCUGGCUCCUGAUCCUCCUGCCUCUGCCUCCAAAGUGUGAGGAGUGUGGGUGUGCACUACCACACAUAGCUAUCACUGGUGUUUUGUCACAGCAAUGGAAAGUGGGCUGGCUCAUAUACCAUGGUUUGUGUUCUGGGGAACACGCUUUGGGGAAUGCUGCUUCUUUGGCUAUGCUAAUCAUGUAGGGUCAUGCGCUUUCCUUGUGUAGAGAUUUGUACCUUAUUCUAACUGAUCAUUCCCGUUCAUAUGCAUCAUUUUCUAAUUUUCCCAUUUGUAAACCAAAGUAGACCACACACACAAGAAACUGAGCACAGAGAAUGUUUUUAUGGUUUGGAAAUUAUUGAGACAGUCCCAUGUGGUACUUCUGGGUCCCUGGAUACUCUGCUCCCUCAAUUGUGCUUCUCUCCAUCUUUCUGCAUGUGUCUCCCCAGACUUGGAGUUCACUACCUCUUGACUUUGCUUCUAGUAUACAUAGUUGAGAGUAAGUUAUUUUGUGGUGUAUUAUUACCCUUUCUGUGCGCUGAGCUUUUUCAGUGACACACAUUUUACUGUGCGUCUAUGCUUGUUGAUAGUACAGCUACAGAUUGUUCAUCCUCUUUAGCAAAUAAAAUACCAGUGUGAGAUGGGUCACAGCAAAUGUAUCAUUUCUUCAUGGAUGGAUGCCUGACGUCUAUCGGUGCUUGCAAUGAGAGCCAUGUUGGGGGUCUUUCAUCUGCCAUCUCCCAGUAAUUCCAGGAUGAGACCUCCGGGAUAGCUUCUCCUCAAGGUUAAUGCUUUCCCCAGACUAGGGCAGCCUCAGCCCUUCUUAGGCUCAGGGGUCUGGUCUUUGCAUGAAUAACAGUGUUUAGACUUGACCAGCCUGAUUCCUUGCAGACUGCCCACACUUCACUUGUCCUAAUCCAGCAUUUUAUGGUGUUAAGUUUUUCAUUGUAUGCUGACAGUUUCUGUGUUAUAGCACUGUAGUGGUGGUAAUGUGAGGUCUAGCCUGGACCCCUGCUCCUCCUCACCCAAAAGGACAUGCAUACUGUUCUAGUUUACAAUUCUGCUGCUGGGAUAAACACUGCGAUCCAAAGCAACUUAGGGGAGGACAUGGUUUAUAUCACCUUGUGCUUCUGGGUCAAGAUUUGCUAUUGAGUGAAUUCGGGGGAAGAACUGACGUCAAAACUUGGGAGCUUCUGAGCUUACAUAGCCAAAGCCUGUCUGCCUAGGGAUGGUGCUGCCCAAGAAAAGUCUCCACAGACAUGGUUUUUGAUGGAUAGAGUUUUUUUAACUCCCAGGAUUGCAAGCUCUCGUCCACUCUCUGUCAUCAUAUUCUGUCCCCAUAUUCAGAUCUCUCAGGCACACUGACCUCUGCACCACAUCUAAGAAGCCUUCCUCAUAUUUCCCAUUUGCUCUUUGCCUCCUCCACAGCUUCCCCUAUGUGUGUUAUACUGAAGCUUUGGUAAGACUCCCCAGCCCUCUCAGCAUACGCAGGUCGCUGUGCCCUGUGGAACCCAGGAGGACAACUUGCAAAGUUCCAGAAGCCACCCCUGCUAGGAGUCUUUCUUAUCUUUCUCCCCCUACCCUGUGAUAUCUGACUGGGCAUUCCCGUAGAUGCAAGGCAAACAAAGCCAUGUACAUUCCUGCCCAUUAUCCACACUGGCUGUGCUUCAGAGUACAGAACUGUGGAGUGUGCCAUGAGCACAAUAGGCUCCAGGUCCUGCAGAGACCCAGUGCACAUAGCCAUGAAUUUAUGAAUUUAGAACAGAAUCCACAGCUGGGCUCUAGCCCUGCUUGUCUUGAGCCUCUGUGAACCAAGAAGUGCUCACACAUAGGUCACAAGUAAGACUCGCACCUAAGUCUGCCUUGUUUUUCAGACCUUGACACCAACAAGAUACCCUAGAUAAUGCUUGGUGAACAAUGGCCACUUUCAGUCCCCGAAUCCCACUUAAAGACUUAACACCUGAUUCCUCAAGUGUCCAAAUCCCCUGAUAAUUUAAAUGAAGG
rnacentral:lncRNA from 1 species